ACGGAGAACAGACAGCUUUCACUCACAUACACAUGCUUCAGGCCUUCCUUCCAUUCUCUUUUCUCCGAUGUUUGAGCUACAGGAACGCAACCAUGAGAGCCUUUUCUUUUUGAAGUGGAAAAUGGAGGAAACUCCAAAUUGGACACAGCUUUCCGCCAGACAGUCUUUCCUUCUUUCCCUGGACUAUCGUAGCCCCUGGGUAAUUUAGGAAACAGAUGGAAGCACUUUAACUGUAUGGAAGGGUAACAGUAACUCUGGCUGAGGCCCACCACUGCUGAAUUCAACUACUGAUAUGAUGCACCUCAGAAUCUGAAUGGCGAAAUAUAAAAGCAGAGCUUUCUGAAUCCCUCCAGCUCAGAAUUCUGACAAUUCGAAGGAGUUUGGAGCAUCUGCGUUUUGUGCAAGCCUGGAUUUGCCCCAGUGGCCCCUGACAGCAGAGGAAUGCGCUCUUUUAGGGCCUGACCAGCUGAGCCUCAGGGCCAUCAGGAGGGCCUCAGCCAGCAAUCAAUCAAUAAAAGAAUAAUCAAAUAAAACAAAUGCUCAAUAAAUAAA